AUGUUCUAAAUGUGAGUGCUUAAUGUCAAAAAUUAAAAUAUAUACUUGAAAUAUUGGUAUAUUAUUUCAAGUUAUACCCUUUGCCCUUUGGAAGUAAACAAAUAUUGAAGAAAGUGCUGUGCCUUCACAGGAUUUAAAUUGGCAUUAGGAAUAGAUUUCCUUGAUUUAGUAAUGAUAUUGCUCAUAGAAAUUGAUAAUAUACUAUUUUAUAUUCACUCGUUCAAGUGCUGAUCUAUUUUCAAAUUGAAUAUUUAUUUUUAUUCAAAUAUAUUGAAAUUAAUAUGGAAAGAAAAGUUCAUAAAUAUUAUUCUUAAUAACAAGAAUUGAGAUUUGGGGAUAAGUUUGAAAAGCCAUGUCAGAAGAGUAGGAUUAAAGACAAAGUAUUAAGAGUAAUUGGGCUGUUCCUGAACAAUAUUGAAUAUAAAUAUUCAAAAAUAUGAUUGAUAACUGCAUAUCCUACUAAGUAGAUCAAUACCAAAAUCCCAUUAGAGAAAUAAGUUAAAAUUAUGUUUUACUUGUAUAAUUUUCUUGCUAUUUGUCCACCAUUAUUUGUGAGUUAGAAAUUAAAUAGUC